GGGGGCGAACGGCUUCGACGGGAUCGCUGAAUCGUGGGAUGCGUGCCGAGGUUCCACCGGCUCGUUAAACAGGUGGGAAACCAUAGCUGACGAACAGUUAGCUCUAGCGGCCUAGCAUCGACUAGGCUCGUCGGCCCCACUUGUGCCGCAGGGGGUGGGGGCCCGGCGUCAUACACUUGCGGCUGGCCGCAAACCAGGUCCCAGGGGGAGCGGCGAGAUUUUCAGGGACUGGUGGCGCGUGCAUCCCGCCCGGUGGAGGAGCGCGUCGCGAGAUCAAAAACCGGGAUACGCACGUAGACUCCCUCGAGGACGGAUUUACGGACGCGGGUUCGAUUCCCGCCGCCUCCACCA
rnacentral:tmRNA from 1 species